ACUAAUGUCAACACAGGAAGUUGUUCCAAACAGAACUAAUGCAUAUGCAUUGUUUCAUUAAUAUCACCAGACAGGUACUGAAAGAAAUUGCCCUAAGAUAUGGUGCAAAUAUAACAUAGAAGAUAUAGAUUAAUAGUUGAAACAGAAGUUCGCUGCUCUUGGACGAUUCUUCGAAGCAAAGAAUAAAUGUCAUAGAUAAAAUAAAAAAGUUUGAAAUGAAUUGCAUGACAAAUCGACAUUUCAGAUUAGAUGUGUACAAAAACACAAGGAAACAAAACCAAAAAGUUUUAAGUAGAUCUGCUAAUUCUGAACUGUUGCCAGCUGUAUGGUCAUUGAUUAUGUGAAGAGUUGUCAAAGCAUAUAUAUUGUAAAUCUGAUGAAUUUUAGUUUUUAACUAAUUAUUUGUCUGUGUGAUAUACGCAAUUUUGCGAAUGAUCAAAUAUUGUUAUGUCGGCCUCUUUUUCGGACAUGUAUUCAUUAGAAACAUUGCUACAUCAAAAUUAUAAAAUUUCAUUUCAAUUAUAAUAAUAAUAGCAAUAAUAAUAAUA